rnacentral:rRNA from 1 species
GAGGAAUAUUGGGCAAUGCCCGCAAGGGUGACCCAGCAACGCCGCGUGGAGGAUGAAUGUCGUAAGAUUGUAGACUCCUGUUAGAGGGGAAGAAUAGUACCGGUUGGACCGGUAUAUGACUGUACCCUCAGAGAAAGCCCCGGCUAACUACGUGCCAGCAGCCGCGGUAAUACGUAGGGGGCAAGCGUUGUCCGGAUUUACUGGGUGUAAAGGGCGCGCAGGCGGGAUAAAAAGUCAGUGGUGAAAUCCUACAGAUUAACUGUAGAACUGCCUUUGAUACUUUUAUUCUUGAGUUCGGGAGAGAGAGACAGAAUUCCAGGUGUAGUGGUAAAAUACGUAGAUAUCUGGAAGAACACCAGUUGCGAAGGCGGUCUCUUGGUCCGACACUGACGCUGAGGCGCGAAAGCGUGAGGAGCAAACA